rnacentral:rRNA from 1 species
UACGGAGGGGGCUAGCGUUGUUCGGAAUUACUGGGCGUAAAGCGCACGUAGGCGGCUUUGUAAGUUAGAGGUGAAAGCCCGGGGCUCAACUCCGGAAUUGCCUUUAAGACUGCAUCGCUAGAAUUGUGGAGAGGUAAGUGGAAUUCCGAGUGUAGAGGUGAAAUUCGUAGAUAUUCGGAAGAACACCAGUGGCGAAGGCGACUUACUGGACACAUAUUGACGCUGAGGUGCGAAAGCGUUGGGAGCAAACAGG